ACAUCCUAGAACUAACCUAAUCACCCUUGAUCUCCCUAACCCAUGAAUUCAAAAGGUGAUUACUCACUAAUCUCCAUGAUUCCUCUUAAACCCAUAUUGGAUUUCAGAUUAAUCAUGUAGAGAAAUAGAUAAGAAAUCAACAAGAACACAAGAACAUAACAAUCAAAAUCCAAGAGAUAAACUUCUCCAGAGAGUUUUUGUGUAUUUCUCAAUAGAUCCAAAGAUAAUCUCCUCCUGGUGGCUGCAAAGAGUACUUAACUUAGGUUUUUGCAAUCUAAAAACAAUAAAACAAAUGACCAAAAAACCCCUGAAAUAACAUAAAAAUCUUCCAAUCAAACACGCGGAGCGACCUAGCAUAGUCGCUCCCAGGAGGUCGCUCCCGACGCUUUCUUCGUGUCUCGCCCCGUCAAAACGCGAGCGACUUGAGCUGGUCGCUCUGGCUGGUCGCUCUGGCUGGGAGCGACCUUGGUAGGUCGCUCUGAGAGGUCGCUCCAGGAUGCUCGACUUUGGUGUCUCCGGACGAGAGGACGCGAGCGACCUUGGUGUGUCGCUCCAACAAGUCGCUCCGGACUUCGGAAGCGACCUCAGUGGGUCGCUCUGAGAGGUCGCUCCGGGCUUCGUUUUGUGCCGUCUCGCCAUGGAAACGCGAGCGACCUCGGAGCGUCGCUCUGGCAAGUCGCUCUGAGAGGAGUGUCUAACGAUAGAAACGCGAGCGACCUCUCCAUGUCUCUCUGGCUGGAUCGCUACGGGAUGUGUGUCACAGAGACUUCACGGCGUCGCUCCGGUGAGGUCGCUCUGGUGCGCUGCUCGUCCGUUGAUCGCUUUAAACACUUCUUUUGAGCUCCAAAUGCACCCAAAUGCCUCCAAGAACUCCAUGUGGUACUCCAAUACCUGAUAAAGACUCAUGUAUGCAAAAUGCAACCUAAACAUGGCUAAAUCCUAGUCUAUAUGAUCAAAAUGCACAUGGGUGAAUGAAUAAAACAAUGUAAAUAUGCAAGAUAUCAUGAAGACAGUGUAUCUUCAUGGAGAGCUAGGGGAGAUAUACAUGACUCAGCCAGAUGGUUGUCGAGUUCCUGGAAAGGAUGACUAUGUGUGUACGCUUUGGAAGUCACUUUAUGGAUUUAAGCAGUCUCUCAGACGAUGGUACAAGAGAUUUGAUAGAUAUAUAAUCAUGUUGGGCUACAUCAGAAGUCCUUAUGAUUGGUGUGUCUGCGUGAGUAAGUUGAAGGAUGGGACGUUCAUCUGUUUGGUACUCUACGUGGAUGACAUGUUGUUAGCUGAAGAGAAGUGUGACAUCGAGAAGUUGGAGCAUCUGGUCCGCAUGGACAUCUGAUCCACAAGGACAUUUGGCCCGUUGGGGCAUCUGGUCCGCAAGGACAUCUGGUCCACAAGGAUAUCUGGUCCGUUGGGACAUCCGGUCCGUUGGGACAUCCGGUCCGUUGGGGCAUCUGGUCCGUUGGGACGUCUGGUCCGUUGGGACAUCUGGCCCGUUGGGGCCUCUAGUCCGUUGGGACAUCUGGUCCGUUGGGACAUCUAGUCCGUUGGGACAUCCGGCUGAUGACGAACGUCUGGCUCUAGUUGAGCAUCUGGCCGUUAAAAGGCGUCUGGUUCGUCAUAGCAACACAUCUGGUCCGAAGGGACAUCUGAGGCAAAGAGAGUGAUGGUACAUUUGGCGUUGAAGAAUGCAUCUGGUACAUUUGGCGUUGAUGUCGCAUCUGGCACUUGAAAGUGCAUCUGGUACAUUUGGCGCUGAUGGCGCAUCUGGUAAAUCUGGCGCAGAGACACGCAUCUGGUACAUCUGGCACUUGAAGGUGCAUCUGGUACAUCUGUUAUUGGGAGGAUUCAAGUCAAGGUGGAGAAUUGUUGAUAUGCCUUGAAUCUGGAUGAUACAUCUAGGCGAUGGAUGUUACAUCACGUGCAUCAUACCGACUCGGUUGCAUCAAGAGCGUUGCAUCAAGUUAUUAUGGAUGUUACAUCUGAUCGUGGGCUUAGGCCCAUGAGUCCGUUUAGUCUAGGGUUUUAGAUGCGAGAUAUUACUAUAUAUAUCUUGUAUUCGAAGUAACCCUGAACUUGUUCUUUGUAAGCUCAAUAUCGCCUCCAAUAAUAAGAUCUCUCUUUGCCCGUGGAUGUAGCCCUAGGGGUGAACCACGUUAAAUAUAUGUGUCGUAGUUACAUCGCUUUUAUUCAUCUGUUUCCGCAUCUGUUCCUUCUCACAUCGUUACAACACAAGCCUUUGUCUAUUGUCAUUGCAGUCGCUAUGGGUUCUAUCUUUCUCGGUGAUGCACUUUACUUAGGGAGGUACUAUAUCUUUCACAAGCAUCCUUAAUUAAUUGCACACUCAGAAGAAUUUAUCUACAUAUUGAUCUUCAUGUGUUUAUCUAAGGAAUCAAAUCUAAUAGAGUUACAUGGUUUCUAUAUGCCAAGUCACACUUUGCAUCCAUACUUCAUAUGCAGUGUCGUUGGAUCAGUGAUUUGAGCUUAGGCUUCUACACUGUGAUUUGGGGUAAAUCAAGAGAGGAUUUAACCAGAACGGUUGCUGGUUCGGAGUAGGGAUGUCAAAUGGGCUUACUGACCACGGGUUAGCCAGGUCCAAAACCAAAUGGUCUGACUAUAUUAGACCCAAAAAUCAAAGUUGUCCAAUUGGACUGAAACCCAUUAACUCCCAAAUUAGAUGGACAAAACCAUUUGGACAUGGGCGUCCAAUAAACCUAAAAAAUAUAGAGUUUUCUAAGUUAAGAAAAAAUUAGAAAAUAAAAAUCAGAAAGUAAAAUACAUGUUUUCCCGCCAAAGUCGCAAAUCACGUUUUUCCGCCAAAACCGCAAAAUCACGUUUUCCCGCCACUGCAAAAUCACGUUUUCUGCCAAAAUCGCAAAAAAAUGUUUUCCCACCAAAAACAUAAAAUUAUGUUUUUCCGUUAAAACCGCAAAAUCAAAUUUUCCCGCCAAAACUGCAAAAUCAUGUUUUCCCGCCAAAACCGUAAAAUUAUGUUUUCCCACCAAAACCGUAGAACAUGUUUUCCCGCCAAAAACGUAAAAACACGCUUUCCCGCCAAAAAUCACAAAAUCACGUUUUUCCGCCAAAACUACAAGAUCACGUUUUCCCGCCAAAACCGUAAAAACAUGUUUUUCCGCUAAAACCGUAAAAACAUGUUUUCCCGCCAAAACCGUAAAAACAUGUUUUCCCCCCCAAAACCGUAAAAACAUGUUUUCCCACCAAAAUCAUAAAAUUUUGUUUUCACGCAAAAACCACAACAUGUUUUUUAACCAAAACCGUGAAAUCACAUUUUUCACACGGCUAUUUAAGUUAUAUGCUUUAAUGUUAUAUAAAGUCUUGUUAAAUAUGAAUUUUUGUAUGUAAAACUUUAUUUUUUAAUUGGACAUCGCAGACCACCCAUUUGGAAUAAUCCAUUUUGGGUUUGGACAAUUUGGACUUGGUGCAAUUUGAACUUUAACAAAUAAAGUCCAAUAAACUGAUUUGCCCAAUUGGACAUGCCCAUUUGGACGUAGACAGCCCAAUUGAUAUCUUUAGUUCGGAGCAGUCACCUUUGUUGCUUACCCACACCAUUAUAAUAUGACUGACGCAGCAGUCACCUUUGUUGCUUACCCACACCAAUAUGAUAUGACUGACGCAAGUGGCUGACCUCUCUUCAAAUGUUUGUUACUUGAGCUUAUUGUGUAAUAUCAUCCUUGGUGCUCCAAGAUUUAUGGGAACUUCUAACCUAUGUUUUCUAGUUUUUAAACUUGAGGGCAACAUGUUCAUGUCGCUGAUAUGGAAAUUUUGGGUCGAUUUGGUUUAAUAUUGUUGGGUGUCUAAUGUUGUGUUAAAAUGCUAACGUUGAAUAAAACAUUUUUAACGUCAUCAUCUUGAAGGAAGCAUCAAAUGCAUGUAGUUUAUGUAGAAUUUAAACAGAAUUAAAGAUUUGUUGAUGUCAACAACCCAUGUAUAUCCUUAGCAGUAGAUUAAUAAAAAAACAGAAUUUAUGGCAAAUAUAUAAUGAUUGUUUGAGAAAAAGUAUGCUCUAAAUUUUUCCUCCCACUCAAAAAUGGAGGCAGUACUGCCGCACUUAGCAUCUCCAACCCCACUCUAUUUUCUACACUAAACUCUAUUAUAAAGUAAAACUUUCUCCAACCCCACUUUAUAUCCCACUCUAAAAUAGUGCAACUCUAUUUCUUACUCUAUACUUGGAGUAACUCUAUUUCUUAAUCUAUUAUAGAGUUGAACUUUUUUAUUUAUACUUUAGUCCUUUUAUUUUUCAUCUUUUUAUUUUGUAACUAUUUAUUUAAUUUAGUUAUGCAAACAACACAUAAUUAUGUAUAACACAAUAUAUGUAUAUAUAUAUAUAUAAGCAUUUAAAAUUUUAUUAUUAUUAUCCAAAGAAAACAAGCAUUAAAAUUAAAUGUUUUUUUAAGAUUGGCAAAAAACUAAACAAAUACUAAAAUUAAAAAUAAGUAACUCAAAAUAAAAUUAAAACCAUAGAUAAUGACUUUUUUGGUAAAUUGCUUCAGAUCGAGCAAUUGUUAAAAUAUUGCCCAAAUGAGGGUAAUUGAAGGAGUAGCUUCAUGUUGUUGACCCCGUCUUUUUUUGUUUGUAAAAUUAUUUUUCUUGAAAAUAUUCACGAACAUCUGGAUCUUGCACUGAAUUUAAGUCACAAACUAAAUAUUUUUUUAUGCAUGUAUGUAACUAAAAUAUAUAAAAAUGUAUUGGUGACCAAUGCAUAUGGACUACAUGUAUAAUUAUAUACAACAUGAUAUGAGGAUGAAUGUGAUUUUAGCGCACCAACUAAAGUGGGACGCGAAGUUCCACCUCCACAGAUUCAGACACGAAAGAAUGAUAAUAUUCGAUUUGAAGAAUUUUUUGGUCGAUUUAGAAACAAUGAAAGAUAAAAAAAUUCAUUUCACACUCUGAAAUUCGUUAAGUGAUCACUUCUGGGAAAUAUAUAAUAAUGGAGAUGUUUAAGUUAAAAUGUAUUAUGUUAUUAGUAAUAUGUAAUGUAAGUUUUAAUAUAAUAAAUGUUUGAUAUAAAUAUAUAAUUUAUGUAAAUUUUGUGAAAAAUAAAAUAUAAAGAUACAAUUUGUAAAUUUUGUAAGUAAAAGAUAUUAGUUAUAAAAUAAAAAAUAAUAUAUUUAAGAAUAUUUCUUUUUAAAGUCAAAUAUAGAGUAAACCAUUGGAGAGAAACUCUAUUCUAUUUUAGAAUAACACUAUUUUAGAGUAAAAAUUACUCUAAAUAGAGUAAACGAUCGGAGUUGGUCUUAAGUCUCCACGCCCGCUCCGCCUCUUACUUUUCCUCUUGGCAUCUCAAUGCAUCUGCUCUGUUUUCGUGUUUUUUUUUGCUGCAUCUUGAUCUGCUAUUGUGCCUUCUCAUGACAGUACGUAUCAGAGUGCUCGCCGGCGUACUUAGGAGCACCCAUUUUCCGCUUUAUGGGCUGGACUUUACCAAACCUGAACUUUCCUCGGGAUUCCCCACUCAUACUCUUUCGCCUCCCCUACUCCGCCGUGUUUCAGCCCCUUCAUUCUAUCACGCCUAUCGUAACAUUGGCGGCUAUCCACACCUGUUUGGGUUAACACUGUUCACUCUAUCAGAUCUAGACUCCACCAACCGGAUUUACGCACCCCCCCCCCCUACUGCAUGCUAGGUUCAGACCAUCACUGACGUCUCGUUAUCCUUCUCGAGAAGGAGACUUCCUCAGCCAUAACCUCCGUCGAGCUCUAGUGUUCUAUCAUCGGAUCGAAGAUCUGAACCACCCUUAUCCAUUCAUUGGACUCUUAUUGUCCUGAUAUCUAAAUGGGAAAGCUACUAACCGGGUUUUAACCGGGUUUUUUUUCAAUUAUUUUUAAAUCGUAAUAUAAGUAAAUUACUGAGAAAACACGGUAAGUGAUAAUAUUUACAUUGAAAGCCAGGGUAAAACCCACCCUCUCCGUGACCCGAUGGAUCUAAGAGGGUAAGAGCAUGAUUAAUGUGGGUCUCUUAGGGUGGGGUUCUUAACGUAAUAUAAGAUACAGUCUUUUAGCUUUUAACUAAAAAAUUAAGAGACAUCUCUUAAAUAAGAGAUAUAGAAGACGUCUCUUAGCAGUUAAAAGUUAAGAGACUAAGUACCUGAUCUAAGAGACCUGCAUUAAUCAUGCUUUAAAGUGAUCGAACCCUAAAAUCAAACACGAUUUUUAAUCACUAUCCCCAUCUCUUAAAAUUGAUUUUGUUUGUCGAUUAAAUUUCAUUCAUCUCCCAAAGUGUUCUAAGGAUCUCGCCUCGCGAAACUAGGGAGAACUAGCUGAGAAAGAAACAAAUGUCCAGAGAAUGUGAAAAUAGCAAAGACACGAUGGACUAGAAGGAAGAAAAUGGAACGUGUGAAGGAUAUAACUUCUCUUGAAAAAAAAAAGUUCCAGAAUUAGAGAAGACGAAUUCAGUUGAAGAUGAAGUAGAGGAAGAAGAAAAAAAAGAAUUCAGGAGAAGAAGAAGAAGUAGAUGAGAAAUCAGGUGACAAAGAAGAACAUAAAGACAUGAACUCUGAAAAUAAUUCUGGUGAAAAAGGAAAUACAGGAUCUGAGGAGAGCUCGGGGUGAGGGAAUCAUGUUGUUCAUGAUGUCCAGACCAAUAAAGAAGAUACUGAUAAGGUUGAGGGAAGUAGCAGUCAAACCUUAAGCGACAUAAGUGUUCCACCGACUGAGUAUAGGAAGAAUAUCAAAAUAUCGAUGGGGUGUUUUAUUGCUGAUGUUUUGAAAACCCUAGAGGAGUUAAACCCUCCCAUGAGUAGGGUAGAGAAGAGUUGAUUUGAGAAUCAUCUGCAGUUCAAACACAUAUUCCACAUGCCAAAGGAUGGCAACCACAAGGUUAUGGCAUGUGGAUGAUCCUUCUCCGAACUGCAGACAUGGAAAAGGAAAAAGAAGCUUGGUUUGCCAUGAAUAGUUGUACCAUCCACUAUGGUAUUAGAGAACAUGCAUUGUUAUCAAGAUUAGAGUGCCGAAACUAUCAAGUGAACUACAAGGAAGCCGGAGGCAUGAAGUUUGCGAGGAAAUAUUUUGUCACUGGAACAAAAAGAUAUCAAGACGUGAACGCGAAGCUUUAGGAAAUGGAACCUACUUGUGAUAGGUUGAGGAUGUUGUUAUUGUAUUUCCUAUCUAGAAUUAUUAUCGGGCAGAUAAAGACUGGUAAAGAUGCCCCUUCCAUGGAGCCAUUCUUGCUGAGAGCAUUUGAUGAUCUCAACUUAUGUAAAACAUUCCCUUGGGGAAUAUUUUCCUUUGAUCACAUGUUAAAACAUAUUUCACACACUAUGGAACAUUUUGGAGGGGUGGUUCAAGAAGGUGAUAUGGCCAAUUCCUGGUUUGUGUAUUCCAAUGGAGGUAAGGCUUUUAAGUUUUAUAUGA